UAGGGAAUCUUCCGCAAUGGACGAAAGUCUGACGGAGCAACGCCGCGUGAGUGAUGAAGGUUUUCGGAUCGUAAAGCUCUGUUGCCAGGGAAGAACGCUAUGGAGAGUAACUGCUCCAUAGGUGACGGUACCUGAGAAGAAAGCCCCGGCUAACUACGUGCCAGCAGCCGCGGUAAUACGUAGGGGGCAAGCGUUGUCCGGAAUUAUUGGGCGUAAAGCGCGCGCAGGCGGCUAAUUAAGUCUGGUGUUUAAUCCCGGAGCUCAACUCCGGGUCGCACGGGAAACUGGUUGGCUUGAGUACAGAAGAGGAAAGUGGAAUUCCACGUGUAGCGGUGAAAUGCGUAGAGAUGUGGAGGAACACCAGUGGCGAAGGCGACUUUCUGGGCUGUAACUGACGCUGAGGCGCGAAAGCGUGGGGAGCAAACAGGAUUAGAUACCCUGGUAGUCCACGCCGUAACGAUGAAUGCUAGGUGUUAGGGGUUUCGAUACCCUUGGUGCCGAAGUUAC
rnacentral:rRNA from 1 species